rnacentral:rRNA from 1 species
CCUACGGGCGACAGCAGUGAGGAAUAUUGGUCAAUGGACGGAAGUCUGAACCAGCCAUGCCGCGUGCAGGAAGACGGCUCUAUGAGUUGUAAACUGCUUUUGUACAAGGGUAAACCUGAAUACGUGUAUUCGGCUGAAAGUACUGUACGAAUAAGGAUCGGCUAACUCCGUGCCAGCAGCCGCGGUAAUACGGAGGAUCCAAGCGUUAUCCGGAUUUAUUGGGUUUAAAGGGUGCGUAGGCGGAUUGAUAAGUUAGAGGUGAAAUGUCCGAGCUUAACUCGGGAACUGCCUCUAAUACUGUUGAUCUAGAGAGUAGAUGCGGUAGGCGGAAUGUAUGGUGUAGCGGUGAAAUGCUUAGAGAUCAUACAGAACACCGAUUGCGAAGGCAGCUUACCAAUCUAUAUCUGACGUUGAGGCACGAAAGCGUGGGGAGCAAACAGGAUUAGAUACCCCAGUAGUC